CAGCAUCCCAUAUUGUCCCUACACCAGGAUGUGAGCCAUUGUGGCAGUGUAAUUGGUGCCCUUUGCCAGGAGAUCCUGGGGCAUUGCAGGAGUGUCAACUGAGCAGCAACAAGGAGGAACUGAAUGUUAAUAUGUCUGGGAACCCCAUGCCAAAUGCAAUGUGUGGCUCUGAGAACUCUGUGGCACAGUGUAGACUUGAUGAAGGUGGCUGGCUUGACUAUGUUACAUACAUUUUUCUCUGAUGAUUCAAAUAACAGCAAAAUAACUGUCCCCAGGGGACUGUGGCUAAAUGAGUAAAUGGAACAUUUUCUUAAACUUUUGUUAAAAUGUCUUUACAGUCUCUGU